UCUUAUGGAUGAACAAAGAAAGAAGUUUCUUGAGAUGGAAACUACUCUUGGUAAAGAUGCUGUGAA
rnacentral:pre_miRNA from 1 species